rnacentral:rRNA from 1 species
AUGCUCCCCCGUCCUCCUCCCGUGGCCUCGCCGCCGGCCUCCUCCCGUGGCCCCGCCGCCGGCCUCAUCCCGCGGAUGCGCCGCCGGCCUGCCGGGAUCGAGCAUGCCCCCAAGAUCGCCCCUGGCCUGGUUCUUCUGCCGUCCCCGUCCCCUUCCCCACCCCCGCCCCCCAGAUCGCGCCGCGCGCCGCCCCUGACCUCCGGCCGGAACCCCGCCCCUCCCCGCCGCCGAGGUCCGACCCCCAGGGGCCCAGCCAAGAUGGUCUGCCGCUGGCUAGGUCCGCCGCUACAGGAUCUCCCAACUGCUCCUCCCGGUGACGUCGCCCUCCACAUGCGCCUCCUCGCUGCUCCAACCCAGCCACGAGCACCAGAUCUUCAGAGUCAUGGCCUGCACGUGUGGGCAUGGGCACGUCGCAUGUUCAGGUGUCCCUUUCUUCCCCACAAGUCCAUCACCUCCCGUCCAGCUGGCUGUAUCCACACGUCUCCGAUGACCUCCUCUGGACUUGUGCCCAGGCUCCUUCUGAACUCCUCGCGUCUCCUUCGUCUUCGACCAACAACAGCGACCCCGUUUUAG